UACGGCCACAUCACGGAAAACACCGGUCCUCGUACGAUCACUGAAGUUAAGCAAGCCCGAGCCUGGUCAUUACAUAGAUGGGUUACCGCUUGAGAAUACCGGGUGCCGCUU